rnacentral:rRNA from 2 species
AUGCCGCGGUGAAUACGUUCCCGGGCCUUGUACACACCGCCCGUCACACCACGAGAGUUUGUAACACCCGAAGUCGGUGAGGUAACCUUUAUGGAGCCAGCCGCCGAAGGUGGGACAGAUGAUUGGGGUGAAGUCGUAACAAGGUAGCCGUAUCGGAAGGUGCGGCUGGAUCACCUCCUUUCU